GGGGGCGACCUGGCUUCGACGUGGGUCGUGAAGGAUCUCAGGGCAUGCCGAGGACCAGUCACCUCGUAAAUCCAUCUGGAACACUACAAACGCCAACGAAGACGCGUUUGCUUUAGCCGCUUAAUACCGGCUAGACGCUGCACUGGCAGGCCUCUGGUCCAGGUUAGGUAACUAACACGCAGCGCCAUUUACAGAGGCUGGAUGCCGGUGGAGUCACGACGGCGGCAUUGAGAUCAGUGACUGGCUGCGCGCCGGCCUGCCGAUCGGCCAAGCGCGUGGUGAGAGCUCAAAUAGACCGGCUACGCAUGUAGAACUGGAUCUGGAUCAUUCGCGGACGCGGGUUCGAUUCCCGCCGCCUCCACCA
rnacentral:tmRNA from 1 species